GAUGAACGCUAGCGGCAGGCUUAACACAUGCAAGUCGAGGGGUAACAGGAGUGCUUGCACUCGCUGACGACCGGCGCACGGGUGCGUAACGCGUAUAGAACCUACCUUUUACAGAGGGAUAGCCUUUAGAAAUGAAGAUUAAUACCUCAUAGUAUUGAGAUUUGGCAUCAGAACUCAAUUAAAGAUUUAUCGGUAAAAGAUGGCUAUGCGUCCUAUUAGCUAGAUGGUAAGGUAACGGCUUACCAUGGCAACGAUAGGUAGGGGCCCUGAGAGGGGGAUCCCCCACACUGGUACUGAGACACGGACCAG
rnacentral:rRNA from 1 species